AUACAAGUAUGUGCAGGUUUGUGUAUGUACAUGUGUGCGUGUAUUUGUAUAUGUGUUAAAUGUGUAUAUGCUUAUGUUUGUUUGCAUAUAUAUGUGUGUAUACAUGUUUACACUUAUUUGUGUGCAUGCAUGCACAUCUCUGUAUGUCCAUGUUUCGGUGUUUUGAGUGCUCUUAGACAAAUAUAUUUAUAUGCCUAAAUAAAAAAUGUGCUUCAUAUCUCUGAUUUUGAUGGUUACCUGUGUAUGCUGCUAUCAUCUACCUCACAUCUACCUCCUUAUUGCUGUUUUCUGAAAUUAUACAACCAUAGUUGUUCUUUGGUUCAUCUCCAAAUACAUUUCUUCUGAAGCUCUUAUAUUUUCCAUUCUCCAAAGUGACAUACCAUUCAGGAAUUAAUGAGUUGAUUCAAGGCUUGGGUUCCCUCUGCAGCCUCAGAACAUAGAACACUUGCAAGUGGAACCAAACAAGGGAUGAGAAUAUUAAAACAUUCUAGCGUCAUCUUCUGACUUCAGAGAGAAGAGAGAAGCUGGAGGUUGAUUUAAUCAAAUGGAAAAUGAUUUAGUAAAUCAUGCCUGAAGAGUGAUACUUCCAGAAAAACCCUAGAGCAGAGAAUUAAGACAUUGGAAGAGAGAUCCUGCUGACUUGGACUUUCUGUAGUUAAACCAAAAUUAUUAGUUGUAGGAACCUCUGAUUUAUUCUCGAUUGAUCAUGAACACAGGAGAUCUGGCCUUGUCUUACCACCUGCUCUACUUUCAAAUGUCCCCAAAUGAUUGUGUGUUUGGUAACUUGGUCCAUAGGUGGAUGUACUGACUGGUAGAUAUGAGACAUUUAAGAAAGUGAAACUUGACUGGUAAAGGCUUAUUGGGUUGGAGAUUUACCACAACAUAUCACCAGUGGAAAAAUGAAGUCAAGCAGCUGAAUAUACCCCAGCAUUCAUGGAAAUUAUUGCCCUUCAGCGCUGGCAUAGUUUGGUUGACCUUUUUCUAUAAUAACUUCAAUGUCUUCUCUGUGCUGUCCUUGAGAUAUCUCUUACUUGUUGUUCCUUUUUCCUGUGUCACGUGGUGAAGGGACUUCACAAGCCCAGGAGAUUUCAUCAAGAAGAUGCAAUUUAGAAUUAUGUAAUCUACUGUCUCCUGAUACAACGGUUGAUACUUUUCCUCUUUGUCAGCCUUUCAGAGGUAGUACAGGAACAGAAAUGGUAGAUCCAUGUAUGCUGUAAAGUGGAAACGCACCUCCUCCCGCAACUGAACUGACUGACUUAUCAACCAAGAAUGGUGUUUUUCUUUGAAAAAAUUGAUUUCACACAGGUGUUGUGGGGACAUAUUGAGCAAGUAAAUGCUACUUUCUGUGAAUGCAGGUUAAUCCAUUUUACAGAUACUAGGCCUCUCUGGUCAAUCAGGAUAAGGUUACAUUCAUGUAUGUGCCCAGGGCUGACCAUUUGACCUUGGACAAUCAACUCUUGCCCAGGGAAGACCACCUCUCCCAAUUUUGACUUUCCUCUAUUGCCAAUAGUUUUUUGCAGGGUUGAGGCUCCAAAAGGUUUUCCCUCAUUCCCUUCGGCAUGCUUAUUGGUGUACUCUUUAUUCAGUUCAUAUUUGGACAUAUAUAGUUUUAAUAAAGUUUUUCUAUCUGGACUGAGUUUCUGGUUUCUGAGUUGCUGAUCAGGGUUGUCCAAGAGACUCCUUAAACACACAGCCCAUUGCUUGUUACCCCUGGUGACUCUAGAAACAGGGCCCCGGUACCAAUGAGCUAGAACUGACUUGAAUUCUCCUUCCCUGAGAACUAGCUUUCAAUGUACCAGGUGGUACCAUGGAUGCUUCUAAAGGAGGGAGGCAACCAACAAUCUGCCUGUGAAUGACCACAGUGACCACUGUGGCAUGAUAACCAUAAGGGAGCAGAAAUGGCAUGCAUACCUUGGCCAUAACUAACAGUUCUCAAACUGGACUCAUGAACUGCUCAAAAGAGGUGAACCACAUGUGGUAUCGGAAACCUAGUUAAGUUUUGGUUAUCUGAGGAGGAGAAUCCACAACCAUUAAUUUUCUCAACUAGAAUAAUGGCUAUCAACAACUUUUAAACAUUUUUCUAUAUACUCACAGAUAAUUGUAUUCUUUAUACCCCAUAAAGGAAACUUCUCUUUGCAUUCGAUUUUUUAAGAGAAAAAUUAUCUAGGAAAUUUAUGUUUCGGCAAAAGGAAGAAAUAGAAAUUUCCCCUAAAGAAUGUUCUCCCAGAUUGUACUCUCUCCCCUAUUAUGAGCAGUCCAAACUGGACUGGUAAGCUCAUCACUGUAGUUAAUUUUCAUAAUUCCAUUACAUACACACUGGAUUUAUGGUGCAUUGAUAACUUUUCUCAUUGCUGUGACAAAAUGUCCAAGAAACGGAACUUAAGAGUGUAAAGCUUUGCUUUAGUUCAUAGUUUGAAGAUUCAGUGUAUCAUGCAGGGACGGCAUGGCAGCAGGAAGCACUUGAUUAUAGUGGAUCCUUCAGAAGCAGAGGGAGAUGCAGG